rnacentral:rRNA from 1 species
AGAGUUUUGAUCCUGGCUCAGGGAUGAACGCUGGCGGCGUGCUUAACACAUGCAAGUCGAGCGAAAUAAUUGAGAGCUUGCUUUGAUUAUUUAGCGGCGGACGGGUGAGUAACGUGUGGGUAACCUGCCUUUUACUGGGGAAUAAUCACUGGAAACGGUGACUAAUACCGCAUACGGUUCUUGGAAGGCAUCUUCUGAGAAAGAAAGGAUUUAUUCGGUAAAAGAUGGGCCCGCAUCUGAUUAGCUAGUUGGUGAGAUAACAGCCCACCAAGGCGACGAUCAGUAGCCGACCUGAGAGGGUGACCGGCCACAUUGGGACUGAGACACGGCCCAAACUCCUACGGGAGGCAGCAGUGGGGAAUAUUGCACAAUGGGCGAAAGCCUGAUGCAGCAACGCCGCGUGAAGGAAGACGGUUUUCGGAUUGUAAACUUCUAUCAAUAGGGAAGAAAAAAUGACGGUACCUAAAUAAGAAGCCCCGGCUAACUACGCG